GACGAACGCUGGCGGCGUGCUUAACACAUGCAAGUCGAACGGAAAGGCCCUGCUUUUGUGGGCUGCUCGAGUGGCGAACGGGUGUGUAACACGCGAGUAACCUCUCCUUGACCCUGGGAUAUCUUCAGGAAACUCGGGCUAAUACCGGAUAGGAGCUCCUGCUGCAUGGUGGGGGUUGGAAAGAUUCGGCGGUUGGGGUUGUGCUCUCGGGCUAUCAGCUUGUUGGUGGGGUAGUGGCUUACCAAGGCGUGGACGGGUAGCCGGCCUGAGAGGGUGACCGGCCACAUUGGGACUGAGAUACGGCCCAGACUCCUACGGGAGGCAGCAGUGGGGAAUAUGGCACAAUGGGCGCAAGCCUGAUGCAGCAACGCCGCGUGCGGGAUGAAGGCCUUCGGGUUGUAAACCGCUUUUGCCUGUGAAGAAGCGUAAGUGACGGUAAUGGGUGAAGAAGCACCGGCUAACUACGUG
rnacentral:rRNA from 1 species